GUUUCGGUGGCACAAUCGGUUAGCGCACCGUACUUAUAAUGCGGAGGUUGUGAGUUCAAACCUCACCUGGGACA
rnacentral:tRNA from 1 species